AUACGGAGGGGGCUAGCGUUGUUCGGAUUUACUGGGCGUAAAGGGCGCGUAGGCGGCCCAUAAAGUCAGGCGUGAAAGCCCCGGGCUCAACCUGGGAACUGCGUUUGAAACGUGUGGGCUAGAGUCCGGGAGAGGAUGGUGGAAUUCCCAGUGUAGAGGUGAAAUUCGUAGAUAUUGGGAAGAACACCGGUGGCGAAGGCGGCCAUCUGGACCGGUACUGACGCUAAGGCGCGAAAGCGUGGGGAGCAAACAGGAUUAGAUACCCCGGUAGUCC
rnacentral:rRNA from 1 species